rnacentral:rRNA from 1 species
UACGUAGGGGGCUAGCGUUGUCCGGUAUUUAUUGGGCGUAAAGAGCGUGUAGGCGGCCAUGUAGGUCCGGUGUGAAAACUCGAGGCUUAACCCUCGAGAUGUCAUCGGAAACCAUUUGGCUAGAGUCCGGAAGAGGAGAGUGGAAUUCCUGGUGUAGCGGUGAAAUGCGCAGAUAUCAGGAAGAACACCAAUGGCGAAAGCAGCUCUCUGGGACGGUACUGACGCUGAGACGCGGAAAGCGUGGGGAGCGAACAGG